CCAUAAAUGAAAUUCAAUGCAAAUUGACAAUAUUAUUGAGAGUGUUUUGAAAAUUACAUAGCAUGUUUGAUUAUGUUUUAGAUGAACAACGACCUCGAAAUUUAUGUUUGAAAAAUGUUUGCAUUAACAACGACUUCGAAAUUUAUGUUUGAAAAAUGUUUGGAUACCUAAUAUCACAAAUGAAAUCCAAUGCAAAUCGACAGUAUUAUUGAGAGUAUUCUGAAAAUUAUACAGCAUGUUUGAUUAUGUUUUAGAUGAACAACGACCUCGAAAUUUAUGUUUGAAAAAUGUUUGCAUGAACAACGACCUCGAAAUUUAUGUUUGAAAAAUGUUUGGAUACAUAAUAUCACAAAUGAAAUCCAAUGCAAAGCGAGAGUGUCAUUGAGAGUAUUUUCAAAAUUACACAGCAUGUUUGAAUAUGUUUUAGAUGGACAACGACCUCGAAAUUUAUGUUGGACAAUCUUUUUCAAAUAUAACACGACAAAUGGGAUGCAGAGCGGAACAACAAUAUUAUUAAGAGUACUCGGGAAAUUGUAUAUAGUAUGUUCGCAUAUUUAGCAUUAUUUAGCACACUUAAGGAGCACUAUGCGCGAAUGAAAUAGAUCUAAUGGCUACUGGUAAUAAAUUACAUUCCUAGCAUGUAGCUGUGCAGGUGAGAGAACUGCUGCAUUUUGACAAAUAACGAGAAGGAAAUGCCAGGUAAGAAAUUUCUGUUGUGGUAGAUGUGUACGCCAGUUGUACAGUUAACAGUUGCUAUGAAGUUAAUUGUAUUUUGCGUAUUAUGCAACGAACGUGCCGAUCCAUCAUUGUCUCAUGUUUUGCUAAUUAGAUAACUGUAAAGAUGGUGAAAUAUGUUAGAAUUUACGCGUAUCACGGACCGUUCGUUUUGUAUAUCUAUGCAAAACUGUAUGUGCAGCUAAGCACAACCUAUAAAUUACCACUGUGAAUAGUUGAAAAGUACUAGAACUAGAGUUUGCAAUCAUUUAAGGUCUUGAUGUGUCAAGAAAUGUUGGCAAGAGAAUAAUUGUUUUAGUUUUUACGUGGUCCUAGUUACGUAGAUUGUGUUACAUUUGCAUAAAAUCUUGCAUUGUGUUUGUAUAAAAUAUUCUUC
rnacentral:misc_RNA from 1 species